rnacentral:rRNA from 1 species
GACAUUAGUUUAACGGCCGCGGUAUUUUGACCGUGCAAAGGUAGCGCAAUCACUUGUCUUUUAAAUGAAGACCGGUAUGAAUGGCAUCACGAGGACUUGACUGUCUCCCCUUUAAAGUCAAUGAAAUUGAUCUCCCCGUGCAGAAGCGGGGAUACACCCGUAAGACGAGAAGACCCUAUGGAGCUUAAGACAUAAAGUGACCCCCGUCAAACACCCCCUAAAAGGAAGAAAACUUGGAGGGACUCACCGAAAUGUCUUCGGUUGGGGCGACCGCGGGGAAAGACGAAACCCCCGCAUGGACUAAAGCUACCCUUGCUUUAAAACCUAGACCCACCUGUCAAAUUAACAGUACUUCUGACCACUAAGGACCCGGCCUACGCCGACCAAUGGACCGAGUUACCCUAGGGAUAACAGCGCA